GUGAGGAAUUUUCCGCAAUGGGCGAAAGCCUGACGGAGCAAUGCCGCGUGAAGGAUGAAGGCCUAUGGGUUGUAAACUUCUUUUCUCAGAAAAGAAUUAUGACGGUAUCUGAGGAAUAAGCAUCGGCUAACUCUGUGCCAGCAGCCGCGGUAAGACAGAGGAUGAAAGCGUUAUCCGGAAUGAUUGGGCGUAAAGCGUCUGUAGGUUGUUUAAAAAGUAUUCUGUCAAAGAUUAGGGCUUAACCCUAGAUAGUCAGAAUAAACUUUUAAGCUAGAGUUUGGUAGAGGCAGAAGGAAUUCCCGGUGGAGCGGUGAAAUGCGUAGAUAUCGGGAGGAACACCAAAGGCGAAGGCACUCUGCUGGGCCAAUACUAACACUGAGAGACGAAAGCGAGGGGAGCAAAUGGGAUUAGAAACCCCAGUAGUCC
rnacentral:rRNA from 1 species